rfam:Clostridium sp. CAG:307 genomic scaffold, scf35
UAAUAAUUUAUGCAAAGCAGUAGCAAUACUGUGACGCAAAGCUAUAGGGUCUUUCUAAGAUAGCCAGUUGCACAA